rnacentral:rRNA from 1 species
GACGAACGCUGGCGGCGUGCUUAACACAUGCAAGUCGAACGAUGAAGCCUAGCUUGCUAGGUGGAUUAGUGGCGAACGGGUGAGUAAUACGUGAGUAACCUACCUUUAACUCUGGGAUAAGCCUGGGAAACUGGGUCUAAUACCGGAUACGACCAAUCUCCGCAUGGGGUGUUGGUGGAAAGCGUUAUGUAGUGGUUAUAGAUGGGCUCACGGCCUAUCAGCUUGUUGGUGAGGUAACGGCUCACCAAGGCGACGACGGGUAGCCGGCCUGAGAGGGUGACCGGCCACACUGGGACUGAGACACGGCCCAGACUCCUACGGGAGGCAGCAGUGGGGAAUAUUGCACAAUGGGCGCAAGCCUGAUGCAGCGACGCCGCGUGAGGGAUGACGGCCUUCGGGUUGUAAACCUCUGUUAGCAGGGAAGAAGAGAGAUUGACGGUACCUGCAGAGAAAGCGCCGGCUAACUACGUGCCAGCAGCCGCGGUAAUACGUAGGGCGCGAGCGUUGUCCGGAAUUAUUGGGCGUAAAGAGCUUGUAGGCGGUUUGUCGCGUCUGCUGUGAAGGCCGGAGCUUAACUCCGUGUAUUGCAGUGGGUACGGGCAGACUAGAGUGCAGUAGGGGAGACUGGAAUUCCUGGUGUAGCGGUGGAAUGCGCAGAUAUCAGGAGGAACACCGAUGGCGAAGGCAGGUCUCUGGGCUGUAACUGACGCUGAGAAGCGAAAGCAUGGGGAGCGAACAGGAUUAGAUACCCUGGUAGUCCAUGCCGUAAACGUUGGGCACUAGGUGUGGGGAACAUUCCACGUUUUCCGCGCCGUAGCUAACGCAUUAAGUGCCCCGCCUGGGGAGUACGGCCGCAAGGCUAAAACUCAAAGAAAUUGACGGGGGCCCGCACAAGCGGCGGAGCAUGCGGAUUAAUUCGAUGCAACGCGAAGAACCUUACCAAGGCUUGACAUAUACUGGACCGCAUCAGAGAUGGUGUUUCCCUUCGGGGCUGGUAUACAGGUGGUGCAUGGUUGUCGUCAGCUCGUGUCGUGAGAUGUUGGGUUAAGUCCCGCAACGAGCGCAACCCUCGUUCUAUGUUGCCAGCACGUUAUGGUGGGGACUCAUAGGAGACUGCCGGGGUCAACUCGGAGGAAGGUGGGGAUGACGUCAAAUCAUCAUGCCCCUUAUGUCUUGGGCUUCACGCAUGCUACAAUGGCCGGUACAGAGGGUUGCGAUACUGUGAGGUGGAGCUAAUCCCUAAAAGCCGGUCUCAGUUCGGAUUGGGGUCUGCAACUCGACCCCAUGAAGUCGGAGUCGCUAGUAAUCGCAGAUCAGCAACGCUGCGGUGAAUACGUUCCCGGGCCU